rnacentral:rRNA from 1 species
UGGGGAAUUUUGGACAAUGGGCGCAAGCCUGAUCCAGCCAUGCCGCGUGCGGGAAGAAGGCCUUCGGGUUGUAAACCGCUUUUGUCAGGGAAGAAAUCUUCUGAGUUAAUACCUCGGGAGGAUGACGGUACCUGAAGAAUAAGCACCGGCUAACUACGUGCCAGCGGCCGCGGUAAUACGUAGGGUGCAAGCGUUAAUCGGAAUUACUGGGCGUAAAGCGUGCGCAGGCGGUUUUGUAAGACGGAGGUGAAAUCCCCGGGCUCAACCUGGGAACUGCCUUUGUGACUGCAAGGCUUGAGUGCGGCAGAGGGGGGAUGGAAUUCCGCGUGUAGCAGUGAAAUGCGUAGAUAUGCGGAGGAACACCGAUGGCGAAGGCAAUCCCCUGGGCCUGCACUGACGCCCAUGCACNAAAAGCGUGGGGAGCAAACAGGAUUAGAUACCCUGGUAGUCCACGCCCUAAAACGAUGUCAAACUGGUUGUUGGGAA